UACGAAGGGUGCAAACGUUGCUCGGAAUUACUGGGCGUAAAGCGCACGUAGGCGGCUUUGUAAGUUAGAGGUGAAAGCCCGGGGCUCAACCCCGGAAUUGCCUUUAAGACUGCAUCGCUAGAAUCCAGGAGAGGUGAGUGGAAUUCCGAGUGUAGAGGUGAAAUUCGUAGAUAUUCGGAAGAACACCAGUGGCGAAGGCGGCUCACUGGACUGGUAUUGACGCUGAGGUGGCGAAAGCGUGGGGAGCAAACAGG
rnacentral:rRNA from 1 species